rnacentral:rRNA from 1 species
CCUACGGGAGGCUGCAGUGAGGAAUAUUGGUCAAUGGCCGCGAGCCUGAACCAGCCAAGUCGCGUGAGGGAAGACGGUCCUAUGGAUUGUAAACCUCUUUUGUCGGGGAGCAAAAGACCCCACGCGUGGCGUUCCGAGAGUACCCGAAGAAAAAGCAUCGGCUAACUCCGUGCCAGCAGCCGCGGUAAUACGGAGGAUGCGAGCGUUAUCCGGAUUUAUUGGGUUUAAAGGGUGCGCAGGCGGAAGAUGAAGUCAGCGGUAAAAUCGAGAGGCUCAACCCCGUCGAGCCGUUGAAACUGGGUGUCUUGAGUGAGCGAGAAGUAUGCGGAAUGCGUGGUGUAGCGGUGAAAUGCAGAGAUAUCGCGCAGAACUCCGAUUGCGAAGGCAGCAUACCGGCGCUCAACUGACGCUCAGGCACGAAAGUGUGGGUAUCGAACAGGAUUAGAUACCCGGGUAGUC